UACUGAGACACGGACCAGACUCCUACGGGAGGCAGCAGUGAGGAAUAUUGGACAAUGGGCGCAAGCCUGAUCCAGCCAUGCCGCGUGCAGGAUGACGGUCCUAUGGAUUGUAAACUGCUUUUAUACGAGAAGAAACACUCCGACGUGUCGGAGCUUGACGGUAUCGUAAGAAUAAGGAUCGGCUAACUCCGUGCCAGCAGCCGCGGUAAUACGGAGGAUCCAAGCGUUAUCCGGAAUCAUUGGGUUUAAAGGGUCCGUAGGCGGUUUAAUAAGUCAGUGGUGAAAGCCCAUCGCUCAACGGUGGAACGGCCAUUGAUACUGUUAGACUUGAAUUAUUAGGAAGUAACUAGAAUAUGUAGUGUAGCGGUGAAAUGCUUAGAGAUUACAUGGAAUACCAAUUGCGAAGGCAGGUUACUACUAAUGGAUUGACGCUGAUGGACGAAAGCGUGGGUAGCGAACAGGAUUAGAUACCCUGGUAGUCCACGCCGUAAACGAUGGAUACUAGCUGUUGGAAGCAAUUUCAGUGGCUAAGCGAAAGUGAUAAGUAUCC
rnacentral:rRNA from 1 species